AUAUAUUUAUAUAUAUACAUAUACAAAUGAAAACCUGGACAUAUCCUUUUUAUCAUGUCUUAUUUUAUUUGUACUUACUUCAUUUAUCAGUAUCUAGUUCAUUUUUUUUUUUUUUUUUUUUUUUUUUUAUUCAUUUAUUAAUACUACUAUCUUACAUUUUUCUUGUUUUUUUUUGUUUUUUUAGCAAAAGUUUAGACAAAUGUAUGGCUAAUCCGACUGAUAUCGAAAUUAACAACACGAUCUGUAACGAAAAGGAAUAUAUACAUUCGUAUGAUGUUGAAGAACACUUACAUAAAAAAAAUUGGGUUUCUAAUUGUUUACAAGUUUUAACUUUGCAGUCAUUUGUCUUAACGGUAUCAUUGGCUGUACAUUCAUGCAUUGAAGGUAUGGUGGUAGGAACAUCCAAUGAUAAUUAUUUUCCUUACAUAACAACAAUUUGCAUUUUGGCACAUAAGUGGAUUGGUGGAAUGACGAUAGCCCUUUCGUUAAAAAAUAACCACGUGAGCAAAGGAUUGAAGACAUUUUUUUUUGCAACUUUCAUAUUUGCUUCACCUAUUGGAAUAAUUAUUGGUCAUUUGAUAUCGGAAAAGGGAGGUACAUUAACAACGGGUAUAAUCAAUUGUAUUUCAGCUGGUACAUUACUCUUCAUAGGGCUUGAAAUACUAUUAAACGAGAUAAAACAAAAAUUGAGUAAAACAAUGCGAUUUGUAAAAUGGCUAACAUUUACAACUUCUUGCUUGAUAGCAUUUACAUUAAUUAGAUUAACAAUCGUUCAUGGUCAUUUAGGAGGUCAUUCACACACAGUGGUUAAAUAAAAGGAAAAGUGGUAAGGGGGAUAACGGAAAAACCAAACAGCAAAAUAAAUAAAUUGGAAAUAAAUUAAAAAAUAAAUUA
rnacentral:lncRNA from 1 species